AUGCCCGCGGAGUGGCUCUACCGAACCUUCUCGCCCUCUCACCUCCCUCCCGCGGCUCCAGGAGCUCGGCCGCCGGGAGCAGGGCCCCCACCCCCGGGCGGGGGGUUUCCCGGGGAUACCCCGCCCCGCCCCGCCCUCCGGGCCCCGCCCCGGCCCCGCCCCCGGCCCGCCGGCCCCGCCCCGCGGCCGCCGCCAGCAGGGGUCGCGCUGCCCGCCGCGAGCCGCUCAGGCGGGGGUGGGGGAAGCUCCCGCGGCGGGUCGCUUUUCUCCGCUGCUGCUGGUUGGAUCGUUUCAAUAAAAGUCUUUUUUCUCGCUCGCUCGCUCGCUCGCUCGCUCUCCUCCGGGGAACAGGCGGAGGCGUCAAUCCGCAGUCGCCGAGCGAGAAAGCGACGCACACGCAGCGAACGGGAGCGGCCGCCCGCGGUCUCCCGAGCUCCUCCGGGUCCGGCCGCAGAGAAGAAGGAGCCCCGGUCCGGGCGGGCCGCCUCAGCCGAGCGCCGGCACCUCCCUGCCCGGCCUCGCUCCCGCCCGGGCCCCUCCGAGGGGAUUAGUGGGCUGCCCGCGCGGCCCGGCGGCCCGGCGGCCCGGCGGCCCGGGAGCCAUGUUGUCCGGGGGGCUCGGCAACGCGUGAGGCACCCGCGGCCCCUCCCGAAGGCUCCGGACCCGGGCGAGGGCCGGAAGGCGGCAGCGGAGGCCUGCGCCUCGGAGGCGCCGUGGGUCCCCCGCCGGCCGCUGGGACCCGGACCUGCAUCCGGUCGCCGCGGGCGUCGGCGGAGCCGCUCACCCUCCGCGCCUCGCCUGGAGACGCGGCCCCCGCGCUCGCUGGUGAGUUGGCGGCUGGCGACCGCGCGGGGCUCUCCCUGCCGCCCGGCGGACCCUCGCGAGCCCCGCGGGGCGGGAGGGCGGCCGUGGCGGGGCGCCGCGGGCUCAGGCCCGGCCGGGAAGUUGAGAGAGGCAGGCGCGGCCGGGGGGGCUCGCGGGUGCCGGUGGCCCCCGGCCCCGCGCGCGAUCCCCGGGGCGCCGGGGCAUUUCCGGGGCUGGGCUGGGCUGGGCUGGGCUGUGGGGAGGUGA
rnacentral:lncRNA from 1 species